rnacentral:snRNA from 1 species
ACUCUUCCUUGGCUAAGAUCAAGUGUAGUAUCUGUUCUAAUCAGUGUGAAAACUGAUUUCCACACUUCGGUGUGGUUUUUUUUCACAUUCAUUUUUACAACUUCCGAGAGUCCAGUUGGCUUGCCACUGACUUUUGGACUGGUUUCCGAGGGCCUAGCACUCCUCCCUUGCGAAGCCUACCUACG